CUCCGGGCUGUUCCUGAGGCCUCUGGAGGCCCGCCCUGUGGCUCCAGUGCGCUCUGAGGACCUUCCUGGUCCCGCCCCCGAACGUGCCUGUGGUCUGCAGGCCUCACCGGGUGUUGUGGCCGCUGCUGCUCCGCAGAGCCUCGUGAUCAGUAGCAAGAUUGACAGGGGAAGGACUAAUGUGUGCCCAUGUGGGACGAAGGAUGCUGCCUUGAAAGCACAGAUGGACCUUUGGAUGUGGAAAUUUACACAGAGAGCCCUGACGAAUCUUUAGAAGUUGGUUCCAACAGAAUAAAUGGGAGACUGUUUGCUGGCUUGGCAUUGGAGUCUGUCUGGCACAAACUACACGGUGAAUAACUUUUCAAACAUUUGUAUCAGUAUAUAUGACACUGGAUUCCCAAAAUGUCCAAUUAAACCUCUGUCAAUAGAAGAAAUGUUUGCUUCCUCAGGGUCUUGGGGGCUUAGGUGACAGAUUUGGCCUCUGUUACUGAAGCACUUGCAGCUGAAACUAUGGUGAGCUCUUCCUCUCUGGAUUGAUCUUGUUAUUAUUCAAACAAAGAUCCCCUUGAAAGCUAUGAAAACUGUGUCAAGCUGUGCAUCAUAGAGCCCGGUGAGGUAACUAAAGAAAAAUACCCAGGUGACAAGCACUUUCAAGCCAGAGCAUUCUACAGUUUUCUUUGGAUUUUUAAAAUUAUUUAUGCUUGGGGUGUUUAAAAAAAAACGAUUGCCUUGUCUAGUCUCUGAUUUUAGUGAGGUUGUUUCCAGCUUCUCUCCAUUUAGUUUGGUGUUGGCUACUGGUUUGCUGUAGAUUACUUUUAUUAUGUUUAGGUAUGGGCCUUGAAUUCUUGAUUUUUCCAAGACUUUUAUCAUGAGGGGGUGUUGUAUUUUGUCAAAUGCUUUUUCAGCAUCUAAGGAGAUGAUUAUGUGAUUUUUAUCUUUGAGUUUGUUUAUAUAUAGUGGAUGACAUUGAUGGAUUUCUGUAUAUUAAACCAUCCCUGCAUCCCUGGGAUGAAGCCU
rnacentral:lncRNA from 1 species